GUGUUGCUCUUAUAGUUGUCAGAGAUUGAUACUGUGUAAAACUUACUCAAGUUACGGCUUAUUGUAGCCUUCCUAAGAAGUAAUUGGCGUUGUUGUUGCGCUACGUGUUUUCUCCGUGUUGGAAGCCGUAGGGAGAGUUUUUGUCCUAACAAGCGCGACACAUGACAGGGGAUUCUAUUUUAGAAACCGUUUCUUUUUCUGUGACAUCGCGGCUGGAACAACACCAUGCAAACUAUGACAACGAUAAUCUCAGUGCACUUACACAGACAGCCCGCCCA